UCGAGGAUCAUGCACAAUGGGGGAAACCCUGAUGCUGCGACGCCGCGUGGAGGAUGAAGGUCUUCGGAUUGUAAACUCCUGUCAUCAAUGAGUAUGCCAUCGCCGGUGAACAUCCUGCGGUGGUGACAGUAAUUGAAGAGGAAGGGACGGCUAACUUCGUGCCAGCAGCCGCGGUAAUACGAAGGUCCCAAGCGUUGUUCGGAAUCACUGGGCGUAAAGGGUGCGUAGGCGGUGAGGAAAGUCAGAUGUGAAAGCCCCGGGCUCAACCUGGGAACGGCAUCCGAUACUCCCUCACUAGAGGAUUGGAGAGGAGUCUGGAAUUCACGGUGUAGCAGUGAAAUGCGUAGAUAUCGUGAGGAACACUCGUGGCGAAAGCGAGACUCUGGACAAUUCCUGACGC
rnacentral:rRNA from 1 species